UACGUAGGGUGCAAGCGUUGUCCGGAAUUAUUGGGCGUAAAGAGCUCGUAGGCGGUCUGUUGCGUCGGCUGUGAAAACCCGAGGCUCAACCUCGGGCCUGCAGCCGAUACGGGCAGACUAGAGUUCGGCAGGGGAGACUGGAAUUCCUGGUGUAGCGGUGAAAUGCGCAGAUAUCAGGAGGAACACCGGUGGCGAAGGCGGGUCUCUGGGCCGAUACUGACGCUGAGGAGCGAAAGCGUGAGGAGCGAACAGG
rnacentral:rRNA from 1 species